UACGUAGGGGGCAAGCGUUGUCCGGAUUUAUUGGGCGUAAAGAGCGUGUAGGCGGCCGCACAGGUCCGUUGUGAAAACUGGAGGCUUAACCUUCAGACGUCGAUGGAAACCGUGCGGCUAGAGUCCGGAAGAGGAGAAUGGAAUUCCUGGUGUAGCGGUGAAAUGCGCAGAUAUCAGGAAGAACACCCGUGGCUAAGGCGGUUCUCUGGGCAUUACCUGACGCUGAGGAGCGAAAGUGUGGGGAGCGAACAGG
rnacentral:rRNA from 1 species